rnacentral:lncRNA from 1 species
GUUUACCCACAGGUGAUCUGAUCUCAGGUGAGCAUUCCCUGGAUGCAGACUAUACAAUGAGCAGGAAAUGGUGCUCAGAACGUGGUGGCUUCUUGACAGCCAACUGGUCUGCAGACACUGGCAAUUCCACUACAGCUGUCUGGGUUGCAGAUGUUGGUGCUUCCACACAAGGUGAGUCAUCCAGUGAUGGUGAGGAUUCAACUAUAGGUGUCCUAAGGUCCUAAGUUGGUCCAGAAGCUGGUGGUAUGCAGAUUCCUCCACUUCAGAUUCUGAAUGAUCAUUGAACCCUUGCUACAUUUAGCAGAUGAAGAACAAGAGUAUUUUAAGCAUCUCUCUCCACAGACUAGACACAGCACAUUACUCCAUCCUCUGCAAAUAUGCUACAAACACACUUAAAGCAUGCACUAAUAGGGUUUAUUCCUAUUAAUGACUGGCCCUGCAUGAUCCCAGGAAUGCUACUUAAGCUCCAGCCCAGGCCUUCAGAACUGGUCUGAACUAUGCAGCAGUUGUAUCUGUGCCUGAUCCUCACUUACUGACUAGUUUUCCUAGGGUGACUCUGAGUGUAUAUUCUAGGUAGCUUUGUCUUUAUGGAAGUACUUUGGAUGGAUCUUGGAGCUGACUCAUGACCUUUCCUUGCCUGCGACUGUUGCUGAGCCCUCUUAGGUGCACACUGCCUGCACUGUGUUUGCCCUCAGCUCCUCGUUCCCUGCUUGGUGCAGCUCCAGGCUUGCUCCCUGACAGCAGCAGCUGAAAUUUCUGCAGGCUUUGCCCACCUACCCCCUGAGCAGCUGGCCGUGGGCUGUGUUGUAUCCAUGCCCCACACUCCCAUCCCUAGGCCUGUGACUGACUGCGGCCAGUCUUGCCCUGUUUCUUCCUCCCAUCCCGUGUCCCGGUUGUCGCAAUGUUGCCUGAAGGGGGAUGCUGGGGGAGGACCGAGAGGGAGCAGGACCUGCGCUCACUCCCCUGGAACUGGGAAGGAAAGUGUUGUUCCUGGGGACAACGGGUUAUUGACAACGGGGCUCGCUGGGGCAGAAGGGAGGCGGUGGGCGGCCGGGCCGGGCCGGGCCGGGCGGUGCAGCCAGGGAAGCGGGGGGAGAGGUUCCUCACCGCCCUCACCUGCCCCCGACUCGGCAAGGAAGGGCAGGGGGAGACACGGGGCGAUGCAGCCAGGUUAUGCCAUUGGCAUUUUAAGAGAAGUGGCUGCUUCACUGUCCAGUACCAGAUUCAUGACAGUGCUGUCCAUAUCCUCAGCCAUGCUGACCACUCAGAUCAUCUUGCACUGGAGCACUGCUGUUGGCACUUACGGGAUGCCAGGUGUGUGCAAGAGGAAAAAACAAAUUAGCUUAGGCAGAGGGAGAAGUUUUGCAGCAGUUCACAACAAAUAUGUCACUGCAGGCACAACUGAGGUAAAAUUCACUGCAAAUGGUUUUCUCCAACUCGUUUCACUUGGUGACAAAGCGAACCAUCACAUGAGAGAGGAAAAAUCCAGUCUUCUGAGGGCUUGUUUACAUGGGGAGUUAAGACAAAUUAGUGUGAGGUGUGAGGUAAUGUGCAGAAGUUGAAGUGCACUUAACCUCUUUGUGGGGGCUCUGAUACAGAAGGAAAAUGGCCACAGUUCACUAUGGUGACAAUUAAACAAAAGCAAAGCAAAGGUCACUUUAUCUCCAAAUAUCCAUGCAGGGCUUAACAUCCUUUCACGUGCACUCAUUUCACAUAUUUGGUAAUUUACCUUAACUUUCAUGAAUGUUCUAAUCUGCAGGAAUUGGAGAAGUGCAUGUUCCACCUGGCUCUGAAUAACUACUGUUCCUGGAAAAUCUGGGAGCAGUCUUGGUGCCUACAGAAAUCAAAUCAGAUGUGCUCUCCUGGGAGCAGGGGGAGCCAGAUGCUGCAAACAGGUGAUCUUCUAGGAUUACGAGUGGAAGGGGUCAGGAUGGUAAAUUUCUUGGGAUGUGGUCAAGGAGAGCAUUAGAGAAUGAACCAGGAAAAGAGUACUUCAGAGGAGUUGGCCCACUUACUUUUAAAGGUUCAGUGUUUUCAGAGGGAAAUAAAAAGGUUUAUUUUUGGUGCUGAGCA